GCCCAUCUCAGCCUCCCAAAGUGCUGGGAUUACAGGCAUGAGCCACUGCACCCGACCUAAAUUUAUUCUUUCAUAAUCGUUUCCUCCGCGUCCCAGUAACACAGAAGUGCUGUUGGUGAGACCAUAGAAGCUGUGCUUAUCUCGUAGGUGCCCUGCGCUCCCCUGCGAGUGUUCCUCUGGGUCUAACCACCCGGUCACCUUCUUUGGGUCUGCUAAUAGUGAGGUGUCUUGGACAACUACAGCGAAUGUUCCAGGAACAUGCCUUUUUUCUAUGGACAAGCCCGUCUCUGCAGAAGUUACAGAUUAGCAUCCUUGCUGAGGGUGACUUGUAUCUGUGGCUUCACCUGCUUCCCUGAAUUCCUGACAUACUGCCUGCCUUGUCUUCUAGACAUGGAAUUUCCUUGAGUUUUAACCCACAGAUCUGUCUUCGCUGUGGCUUUUUGUGUGUUUUGGCUUUUUGGCCCUUCUAGACCCAACUUCCCACUCUGCUACUGUGAUGAAUAAUCCCCUAAGGGCUGCUGUGAUUUGUAGAACACUUACACCUAUGGGGAAUGAGGGAGCAAUGCUGCGUGGAACUGGGGAGCAAUGCUGCAUGGAACCGGGGAGCAAUGCUGCUUGGAACUGGGGAGCAAUGCGGAGUUCUUGAGUAAGGGAGUGACAUGAUGAAAUGGAUGUUUUAGGAAGAUUAACAGGGAAUUAACAAGGAGGUACAGGGACUGAAGUCAGCAAGGUCAUCUACACAAUGUUUAUUGUAAUAAUGCCAUUCAAGGGUGUGAAUAUCAUCGCAUUAUCUUGUGUAAUUCUUACAGUCUCCGGUGAGGGAUCAUUUCUUAGACGCAGAGGCUGGCUAAUGGAAGGAUUUGAUGCCACUCACAUGGAAGUCACCUCAUGGUUAGGUGUCUGGGAUCCCAAAGCUGUAUUGAGACUGUCUGCAUCUAAGGCCUUGAUAGUCAGAGUGUGGUCCAUGGGAAGCUUGACGGAAAUGCUGGAUCUCAGCGCCCUCCUCCCAGUUUGCUGAAUCAGAAUUUACAGUUCACCAAGACGCCCCGGUGAUUCAGCCGCACACAGUUCCAGAAGCCCUGAGCUAGUUCGUACAGGGUUCUUUACCCAUGCUCAUGUCCCUGGCCUGAAUCACAGCGUGUUUGACUUGCUCAAGUUGUAGCCGUGGCUCUCAAUGUUUUGACUGUGACCUACAGAAAGAAAUGGACUUUACAACGAUGAAACAAGAACGCCACAGAAACAAUGCCUUCACCACCUGGGGUGCACUCUGCACUCUCAUCCAUUCAGCAGGUAGUUUUGGCACCUGCUUUGUGCCAGGCCUCGUUCUAGCUGUCUGUGUCUAGAAGAAAUCCCUGGUUGUUGGGAGGUUUCUAUUCUAGGAGGAGGGCAAGGGGGUCAGAAAGUUAAAAGUAAACCAUGUAUAUAAAGGGCGUGCUAAAAGAUAUUUAUUAAAAUCUUUUUUAAAAUUACAUAUUUAGGGUGGGGUUCUGGGGUGCCGAUUAUGUUCCGUUUCUUGAUCUGGGUGCUGGGUGUAUUACCUGCAAGAAUGCAAGCUUUCGGCACUUCUCUGGAGGUAUGCUGUAUGUCAAUAAAAAGUUCAAAAAUUA